UAGAAUUCAAGUCUAUCUGGCUCUCAUGACAGGAUGCUUGGCCUCUAUGCUAUGGUCCCCUCUGAAGACUUGGGGGGGCUCAAGAGAGGCCCGAGGCGGUCCGCAAGCGCCCUUCCCUGGGCCGAAGCCCCACGGAGGCUCGGAGCUAGGAUCCGAACCCCAACUUCCGGGCCUGGAAUCCGGGCGGGGAGCCCAAAAUGAGUGCGCGCAGGGGGACCCGCAGCGCCUCCGCGGCCGGGCGCACAGUGCCAUCGCGCGGCCGGAGCGAGCAGCGCAUCCGGGGCCGCCGACUCCGACCUUCGCCAGGACCAGGGGAACCUGAGGCUCAGAGUGGACAGUGAUUUCCUCUAGGCCACACAGCAAGUCAGCAGGGCUGCUGCCUCCCCAUCAGCCCGGCAGAGUCCUCGGGCUCACCGAUCCUCCUGGCGCCCGGACCGGCAGCAUCAGCAGCCCCUGGGAACAGGCUAGAAAGGCAGCUUCCUGGGCCCCACCUCGACCUCCUGCAUCGGAAACUGUGGGUGGGGCUCAGCUCCCAGCAUUUUAGGACACGCUCCAGGGGAUUCACGAAGCACACUCCAGAUGAGAAUGGUUGCUGUCUCUUUGGAAGUAGAAUUCCGGAGGAGGAAUAGACCUUUUCUUCUUUUUUCUUUUUUAAUCAUAUUGUGCAUCUUUAAAAUAAAAAUAACACAUGGGAAAAUGCAUAGAUUUGACUCUUUUGUUUUCAG
rnacentral:lncRNA from 1 species